rnacentral:rRNA from 1 species
CCUACGGGGUGCAGCAGUCGAGAAUCAUUCACAAUGGGGGAAACCCUGAUGGUGCGACGCCGCGUGGGGGAAUGAAGGUCUUCGGAUUGUAAACCCCUGUCAUGUGGGAGCAAAUUAAAAAGAUAGUACCACAAGAGGAAGAGACGGCUAACUCUGUGCCAGCAGCCGCGGUAAUACAGAGGUCUCAAGCGUUGUUCGGAAUCACUGGGCGUAAAGUGUGCGUAGGCUGUUUCGUAAGUCGUGUGUGAAAGGCGCGGGCUCAACCCACGGACGGCACAUGAUACUGCGAGACUAGAGUAAUGGAGGGGGAACCGGAAUUCGCGGUGUAGCAGUGAAAUGCGUAGAUAUCGAGAGGAACACUCGUGGCGAAGGCGGGUUCCUGGACAUUAACUGACGCUGAGGCACGAAGGCCAGGGGAGCGAAAGGGAUUAGAUACCCGGGUAGUC